AUUCUACUCCCUCCGUUGCACAAUACAUGCCUUCUAUUUGUCAAAAUAUAUAUGUACCUAGACAUGUUUUAGUAUAUAGGUAUAUCCAUUUUUGGACAAAUGGAAGUCAAGUAUUUUGGAACGGAGGGAGUACACA
rnacentral:pre_miRNA from 1 species